GAGUCCUCCCUCCCAAGCGGAAUACCAACGUUGGCAACCGGGCCUAGGAGGAGCGCGUUCCUCCCCCGAGCGAGUCCCGGGCGCACUUCUCGAGGGUGAGCCGAGGUCGAAACAGGCGUGAUGAGGUAUCUCUGACGACGGCAAGGAAGUGAGGGAGAGCGUGAGGAGGAGAGAGAAGAGAGAAGAGAAGAGAGAAGUGCGCCGAGGAAGAGCGAGAAGCCCCCGCAUACGAGAGCGCGAGAGGGAGGAGGAGGACGCCAGCAGUUGCGGUCAGGGAGGAGCGGCUGCGGCUGCGGGAAGACAAGGCAGCGAGGAGAGGAAGGAGGCGGCGGCGACGGCGGUGGUGUGUGCGUGCGUGCGUGCGAGUGAGCGAGCGCGCGCGCGUCUGCCUGCCCCACCAAGUCCUCUUCGUUUUUUUUCGACGUCCUGCUCUGUCAUGAGUCCAGCUCGCUAACGACGUAGCACAUGAGUGACGUUGACCAAAGCCUGCGUCAGCUCCUGGCUUCCUACGACUCUGCAGCGGCCAGACCCAAGCAGCCCCAGAACCAAAG